CUUGGUUGCUCCAUAACCAUAGAUCAUUUUUCUUGAAGAAAUCUGGACCCCUCAUGUUCUCUAUAGAUAUGAGAUUAAGCUUCAGCCAUUAUUCAAGAAAAACAUCACCGAACUCCAUUUCUGCAUUAGACAUCCUGCAACAUUCCUACUUUCGGAUAGAACAGAAAAACCAGAAUUGAAAUCAUCCCCCUCAUUGCCGUUUCUGUUAUCAAAAUGUGGAGAAGAGCUUAGAAACUCAUACACAUCUUUUCCUCCUUGUAACAUUAACCAACCAGUAGCAAGUCAACAAAAAAAAAAAAUGCAACUUCAACCCUCUGUUUUUCUUACACUUCCGGUCACUCUUGUUGUUUGGAGUUCUUGAGAGCGAGUGUAACACCUUGUGCUUGUCCCUCCGUGGUGUAUUCCAUAUCCAACAGAAAAAUGAACCAAGGAGCUCAGUUUUAGUUCAUUCCUCACACCUUCGGACAGUAACCUUUGAAGAGACAAAGAAGAGUUCAACUUGAGUCUCAACCCAACCUGGGAUUUUCGGUCAGCAGCUCUUGGUUUUCACCCCCAGCAAUAGUGGCCUUUGGAUUCGGUUGACAGCAGCAAAAAGAGAUAAGUGCAGAACUUGUUUCAUCCAAGCAGAACCGGUUGAUAUUUUUGUGGAUCCUGUGGAAGCGAAGGACUAUGACUGUGCAGGCACAGACACUAACGAGUAUCAGGAUUAUCAGGAGCCUUAUGAUGAUCCUGGUUUCAUAGAUGAGACUGUCUAAAAUCUCCUUUUUAUGAUAGACUUGCUGAACAGUUUAUCUUCCAUGUCGUUAUUAGGUUUUAUUUUAUGUACUUUCUAGACAUCUUAUGCUUUAUUUUAUGGUUUGUAAUAUGACUACUAUUACAUAGGACGUGAGCCGUGGUGGCCCUUAUGUUAUUGCUUUUGUGUGUAUUUAUUUGUAAGACCUUUUAUU